AGGUGACUUCUACAGAAAGAAGGGAGCCUUAGAAAGGCUGAAGCACACCAGCAGGCACACAGUGAGACUGCUGGGGGGAAUGGCACUGCAGAAACAGCUGGAACGCAUGGAAAAGCUAUGAAGUUCGAAGGAAAAGGAAUGCUGCUAAUGAUUUAUUAAUUAUCAUGUGACUUAUCUUUCCACUUCUUAUUAAUCAAAGAUGUCGUGUAACUCUGGAACUCCACAUGAGGGGAAACAGACUAGAUGCAGCCCUGUGUGUGGGGACGUGGGCUGGAGCCAGGUGUCCAGAGCUUUUCCUGAACCUGCUCCAGCGUGCUGCAGCCUGUGGGC
rnacentral:lncRNA from 1 species